UUGGCUCCAAGAAUAUCUUUCUGCCCAUAUUUUCUCCAGCUAUAGCCGUCAUCAUGGGGUCCUUCCAGCCCAUUUUCAGAGCUCACUCUAACUUGAUCUGUCCAUCUGGGCAUUGUCUUUCUCUUCUUUGAGACAUCAUUGUGACGCCCAUCAAAAUCAUCACUUCCAGGACUUCCAUUCAAGGAUAUAGGAGACUCUGGGACAACACCAACUGUAGCUCCAAAAUUGUGCUGCUGCUGCUGCUGCUGCUGCUGUCCCAUCGACCCACUCCA
rnacentral:misc_RNA from 1 species